rnacentral:rRNA from 1 species
GAUGAACGCUGGCGGCGUGCCUAAUACAUGCAAGUCGAGCGAACAGACGAGGAGCUUGCUCCUCUGACGUUAGCGGCGGACGGGUGAGUAACACGUGGAUAACCUACCUAUAAGACUGGGAUAACUUCGGGAAACCGGAGCUAAUACCGGAUAAUAUAUUGAACCGCAUGGUUCAAUAGUGAAAGACGGUUUUGCUGUCACUUAUAGAUGGAUCCGCGCCGCAUUAGCUAGUUGGUAAGGUAACGGCUUACCAAGGCAACGAUGCGUAGCCGACCGAGGAGGGGAACCGCCACACGAGGACUUGACGCAGGUGCCAGGACCCACGGGGGGGGAAGAAUAGGAAAUUUUCGGAAAAGGGCGAAAACCAGAAGGGCAAACCGGGGGGGAGUUAAAAAGUGCUUGGGACCGUAAAACUUGGUUUGAGGGGAAGAAAAAAUGUUAAAGUAAUUAUGAACGUAUUGAGGGAACCUAAACAGAAAGCACGGGCUAACUACGU